AUUAUUAUUAAUUGAAGUAAAAGUUACCUCUCACAUACGGUAUCAUAUACAUACAAAUGAGUCAAAUCACAGUUAUAUGAAUCUGCCUUCUCUUUUUUCCACUUUUUUUUUCUCCAAUUCAAACAUGCAUGUAUCAAUCUUUCUCAAUAUAUGUAGACAGCUAAACAUAAGACCAAGUCGUUCGUUGAAUGCUUUACUCUUGUUGACUUGAAAAUUUCAUAUUAUGGAAUACAAUAAUCUUCAGACGUCUUUGAUUAAUCUUCAUCCACCAAAAGUCAAGAUUUUCUGUAUAUAAAUACUAAGGUACAACUGGCAAUUAUUCUCCAUCACCACAUUGCCUUGGCCUCCGCUUCUUUUGCCAGAUUUAAUCACGUUUUGCCAAAUGGCUUUAAACCAGUCCUCUCAAGUAAAGAUGGUGAUGGUUCUAUUAGCCAUCAUGGUUCUCAUGUCAUCAGCUGUUGCUGUUACCCCUCAGGAUUUGAACUUGAAACCUCUCAAUUUCGUUCGGAAGCUUCUGGAUUACUAUAAACCUCCCACCACAUACCCGGGUAUACCAAGUGGAGGGGGAGGCCAACCAUGCUGUAAAUAAGAAGAUGUAACUCUGAAAACGAGUUGAGAAGAAAAAGAAUGAAAGGAACAAGGGCAAAAGACAUUACUGUUAGAGAAAAAUGUUCUUUAAUUUGAUUUUAAGAGAAUAAAUAUGGUUUCGAAAAGUAUAAGGCAAUAAAUUGAAUCGCACAGACCAAAUUAGUAUUUGUAACUAUAUAUCCAUCCCAUUUAUUCUGUACUCUAGAGCUGUGUUAAGUGUUAAACAAGAUAUGUCUGCUUUUUUUCUUGACCAUAUUGUAUUAAUCAAAUGCUUUCAUAUACGUUUCAAAGCUUAA